ACGGACAUCUUAGUGGCCAUGAACCAAUUUGCACAAGAAAGGCAUGUGUCGCAGUAAAUUAUUUAGAGGUCAACAUAUCGGGAUAUACGGUACAAGUCAAAGGACCGCUCCUCUACGAAGAAACAAAAAAGGUUGAAUAUAACCAUUCAUUAUUUUAUCAUGUGAAUGGUUUAUUGUCUGUUAACUGUUCUGUCGAUGGUACACUUCAAUGGCAGCUAGGCAACCCACCAGACUUACGAACAAUAUGUAUCUUACCAAAAACGAUUCCAAACGGGAAUUUGAAUCAUAACUGUAUAGCUGACGAUAAAUGCGAACAGGAAACAACUGUACAAAUUGAAUGUGAUGACGAUUUCUCAACAUCGAACAUUCUUGUCGAAUGUCUUCCUUCACACACGUGGAAUGCAAAUAUGAUUUGUGAAAAAUUGUCUACCUACGAAACCCGAACAGUUGCAAUUGCUAGCGCGGCUAGUGUGUGUACACUGCUUUUUAUUGCGUCUGCUAUAUUAUUUGCAGUUUUCCUGCAUCGAAGGCAA